rnacentral:rRNA from 1 species
UACGGGGGGAGCAAGCGUUGUUCGGAUUUACUGGGCGUAAAGGGCGCGUAGGCGGCGCAACAAGUCACUUGUGAAAUCUCCGGGCUUAACUCGGAGCGGCCAAGUGAUACUGUCGUGCUAGAGUGCGGAAGGGGCAACUGGAAUUCUCGGUGUAGCGGUGAAAUGCGUAGAUAUCAGGAAGAACACCCGUGGCUAAGGCGGCUCUCUAGUACGGUACUGACGCUGAGACGCGAAAGCGUGGGGAGCGAACAGG